rnacentral:lncRNA from 1 species
CUCUUCCUAAGUUGGAUUGAGUUUGGGUGAUUGUGGAGGCCAGGUCAUCUGAUGCAGCACUCCAUCACUCUCCUUCUUGGUCAAAUAGCCCUCACACACCCUGGAGGUGUGUUGGGUCAUAGUCCCACUGAGCACAAACCAGAUGGGAUGGCGUAUCGCUGCAGAAUGUUUUGGUAGCAUUGCUGGUUAAAUGUGCCUUGAAUUCUAAAUAAAUCACUGACAGUGUCACCAGCAAAGCAUCCCCACACCAUCACAAAGACACAGCACUUGGAAUCAAAAAUCUUCAUUUUGGACUACAGACCAAAGGACAGAUUUCCACCGGUCUAAUGUUCAUUGCUCGUGUUUCUUGGCCAAAGCAAGUCUGUUAUUCUUAUUGGUGUCCUUUAGUAGUGGUUUCUUUGCAGCAAUUUGACCAUGAAGGCUUGAUUUACACAGUCUCCUCUGAAUAGUUGAUGUUGAGAUGUGUCUGUUACUUGAACUCUGUGAAGCAUUUAUUUGGGAUGCAACUCUAAUGAACUGAUCCACUGCAGCAGAGGUAACUCUGGGUCUUCCUUUCCUUUGGCGGUCCUCAUGAGAGCCAGUUUCAUCAUAGUGCUUGAUGCGACUACACUUGAAGAAACUUUCAAACUUCUUGAAAUGUUCCGCAUUGACUGACCUUCAUGUCUUAAAGUUAUGAUGGGCUGUCGUUUCUCUUUGCUUAUUUGAACUGUUCUUGCCAUAAUGUAUACUUGGUCUUUUACCAAAUAGGGCUAUUUUAUAUAUACCUUGUCACAACACAACUGAUUGGCUCAUACGCGUUAAGAAGGAAAGAAAUUCCACAAAUUAACUUUUAAUAAGGCACACCUGUUAAUUGAAAUGCAUUCUAGGUGAUUCCAACUCAUAAAGCUGGUUGAGAGAAUGCCUGUAACGCCUUGGCCAUAGAGAGGGUUUUUUGUUCUCUAUUUUUGGUUAGGCCAGGGUGUGACAUGGGUGGGUGUUCUAGGUUUCUUUUUCUAUGUUGGUGGUUUUCUUUGUUUCGGCCGUGUAUGGCUCUCAAUCAGGAACAGGUGUAGAUCGUUGUUGCUGAUUGAGAGUCAUACAUAGGCAGCCUGUUUUUCCUUUGGGGUUUGUGGGUGAAUGUUAUCUGUUUAGUUUGUAUCCUGACAGAACUGUGGCUGGUCAUUUUUUGUUUUUGUUUUGUAUAGUGUUCAUUCGGUCAUUAAACCUUACAAGAUGAACACAUCCUCCGCUGCACCUUGGUCUCAUUUCAACGAUGGCCGUUACAAUGCCAAGAGUGUGCAAGCUGUCAUCAAGGCAAAGGGUGGCUACUUUGAAUAAUCUCAAAUAUAUUUUGAUUUGCCUAACACUUUUUUGGUCACUACAUGAUUCCAUAUGUGUUAUUUCAUAGUGUUGAAUUCUUCACUAUUAUUCUACAUUGUAGAAAAAAUUGUGGAAUGAGUAUGUGUCCAAACUUUUGACCUGUACUGUAUGUAUAACAGAAAGAAAAGUGGCCCCAGCACACUCCCUUGGGGUACCCCAUAGUUCAAUGUUUUGGGUUUGACAGGGUCCCAUCCACAUCCAACAUCUGUUUUCUUCCUUGCAGAUAAGAUCUAACCCUUUUUACAGCUAAAUUGUUUGAUUAACAGAAUCUCAUUAUCCACUGUAUCAAAUGCCUUUUGGAGAUCUAACAUAACCAUACCACAAAACCUCCUUCCAUCUACUUCCUUCCUGAUGUGGUCAGUUAGAUAUAGUAGGCAUAAUCUUUUCUAUGACCUUCGGUAAAAUACACAGGAUUGAGACAGGCAGACAUAGUUUUCAUGAUGUAGCUUUUUCCCUUUUCUUAUAUAGAGGAAUGACCUGUGCAAAUUUUAAUUCACUGGGAAAAAUCCCUAGUUCAUUAGACAUAUUUACAAUGUGAGUUACGCAGGGGGUGAUAAUUUACGCAGCAUCCCUUAGAAAUCUGGCAGGAAUGUUGUCAAGUCCAGUUGCCUUGGAAUGGUCAAGUUCUUUCAGCUUCUUUAGCACAGUUGACUGAGACACUUUUUCAAAUGAAAAAGCAUUUACUUCAAAUCCAAUCAAAUACAAUUUUAUUGGUCGCAUACACAUAUUUAGGAGGUGUUAUUAUGGGUCUAGCGAAAUGCUUGUGUUCCUAACUCCAAUGGUGCAGUAAUAUCUAACAAUACACAAUACACAAAAUUCUAAAAGUAAAAUAAUGGAAUUAAGAAAUGUAAAAAUAUUAGGAUGAGGAAUGUCGGAGUAAAUAUAUACAUGUAUACUGUACAUAUAAAAUGGGUAAAACAGUAAUGUAAACAUUAUUAAAGUGAUCAGUGUUCCAUGUCUAUGUACAUAGGGCAGCAGCCUCUAAGGUGCAGGAAUGAGUAACCGGGUGGUAGCCGGCUAGUGAUGGCUAUUUAACAGUCUGAUGACCUUGAGAUAGAAGCUGUUUUUCAGUCUUUCGGUCCCAGCUUUGAUGCACCUGUACUGACAUCGCCUUCUGGAUGAUAGCGGGGUUAACAGGCC